rnacentral:lncRNA from 1 species
UCGCUACAAUGGUAUUUCAACCAAAAAGUGAUCAACAACCAUCAUUCGAGGCAUUACAAUCUAACAAAUACACACCAUACAGUCCUGUAGAACAAUAAGGCAAAACAUGUUAUACAUAUAGCAACAUAUGAUAUUCUGAUAUCUCUAUUGUAUACACCAUUUUCCUAUUUGUUCUGGUAGCAGCUUGGGAGCAGAACACUUCUCCACUGACAGAGGUUCGAACUUCUUCCAAUAUCAACAGCCUCUGAUUUUGGUUCACCACCUGCCAGUCUCAUGCUUGAACAGUUGAUAACAUUGCACUAGAGAUCGAAAUAUGGAACCAGCCAAGAUGAAAUGACAGCAUGACUUGAUAAAGUUCCUGUUAAUAUUUUCUGCUAUCCUGUUGUGACGGUAAUCAGAGUUGAAGCCUAGAUUCGAGACAUGAAAUAAUCUGACAUCCAAAAGACUUCCGUAGAUUAUCGACUCAAAGCAAAUACUAACCAAGAAGUUAACAAAGUUCAAGUAUUUCCACAGAGGCAUAUUAGCAAUCUAAUUAUAAUGUGUAUGAACAUAUAACACUUGUACAUGUAAAGACCUUGACAAUAAAUAAAUAAACAGCACAAAUACACUUGUACAACAUGAAGCAUUCGACUAUAAACGAAGAAAGAGCACAAACAAUACUGGAAAGAAAUAUUGGGUUCAACUCAAAGAGCAAACAUCAAAGUCUAAGAGUUGGCUAAAAGGACUCAACAGAUGACAAAUGUGAUAGGUUUAGAUUUUUUAGUUCUUUGUUUGCGAAUGGGGGAAUGAAAGAGGAGAAAGUUCCUGGAGCUCUCCAGGUUCAACCAUUUAAGAAUAUAGAUAGGAGGCUAAUAAAGCAUUUGAGUAUACAUGUUUGAGACUUCAGAAUACAAAUUCAAGGCACCAGCAACUUACACAACACGAAGAUAAAAUCACAAGCAAUAAGUUUAGUGCGUUCUCAUGAUCUAGUAAAGUAGAAAUCCGCAACAGCAUAU